GAAUAUUGGACAAUGGGGGGAACCCUGAUCCAGCCAUGCCGCGUGUGUGAAGAAGGCCUUUUGGUUGUAAAGCACUUUAAGCGAGGGGGAGGCUACUCUAGUUAAUAACAAGAGAUAGUGGACGUUACUCGCAGAAUAAGCACCGGCUAACUCUGUCCCAGCCGCCGCGGUAAUACAGAGGGUGCAAGCGUUAAACGGAUUUAAUGGGCGUAAAGCGCGCGUAGGUGGCCAAUUAAGUCAAAUGUGGAAUCCCCGAGCUUAACUUGGGAAUUGCAUUCGAUACUGGUUGGCUAGAGUAUGGGAGAGGAUGGUAGAAUUCCAGGUGUAGCGGUGAAAUGCGUAGAGAUCUGGAGGAAUACCGAUGGCGAAGGCAGCCAUCUGGCCUAAAACUGACACUGAGGUGCGAAAGCAUGGGGAGCAAACA
rnacentral:rRNA from 1 species